rnacentral:rRNA from 1 species
UACAGAGGGUGCAAGCGUUAAUCGGAAUUACUGGGCGUAAAGCGUGCGUAGACGGUUAUGUAAGUCAGGUGUGAAAGCCCCGGGCUCAACCUGGGAAUUGCAUUUGAGACUGCAUAGCUAGGGUGCGGAAGAGGGAAGCGGAAUUUCCGGUGUAGCGGUGAAAUGCGUAGAUAUCGUAAGGAAGACCAGUGGCGAAGGCGGGUCUCUGGACAGUUCCUGACGCUGAGGCACGAAGGCCAGGGGAGCAAACGGG